rnacentral:rRNA from 1 species
CCCUUAGAUGUUCUGGGCUGCACGCGCGCUACACUGAAGCUAUCAACACGUUUUCCCUCCCUGAGAAGGGCGGGUAACCUUUUGAAUCAGCUUCGUGGUAGGGAUCGGGGCUUGCAAUUGUUCCCCGUGAACCAGGAAUUCCUAGUAGACGCGAGUCAUAAGCUCGCAUCGAUUAAGUCCCUGCCCUUUGUACACACCGCCCGUCGCUACUACCGAUUGAACGUUUUAGUGAGGCAUUUGGACCGACGCAUCUCAGUUUAACCGCUGGUUUGUGUUGGAAAGACUUCCAAACUUGAGCGUUUAGAGGAGGUAAAAGUCGUAACA